GCAAACUUGGUCAUUUAGAGGAAGUAAAAGUCGUAACAAGGUUUCCGUAGGUGAACCUGCGGAAGGAUCAUUACAGAGUGUUGCCCUUUGGGGUACCCUCCCGUCCUUUGCUGGCCUUUGGGCUUUCGACUUCUGCUUCGGCGGGCUUACCCGCCGGAACACAUUUAAACCCUUUUUAUUAAAUUGUUCUGUCCGAGUCUUGAAAAAUGAGCAAAAAACUUUCAACAACGGAUCUCUUGGUUCCGGCAUCGAUGAAGAACGCAGC
rnacentral:misc_RNA from 1 species